UGGAGGUAGUGACAAUAAAUCACAAUGCGGGACUAUCAGUCUUGCAAUUGGAUUGAGAACAAUGUACAACUCUUAUCGAUAAGCCAUUGGAGGGCAAGUCUGGUGCCAGCAGCCGCGGUAAUUCCAGCUCCAAUAGCGUAUAUUAACGUUGUUGCAGUUAAAAAGCUCGUAGUUGAAGUGUGGGUGAUCGCUGUUGUGAGACUUCGGUCUCUCGACAGUAAGUCACCCCCUUCCAGUAUCCAGUAGUGGGUAUUCAGUUACUUACUAUUGUGUGUUGGUCCUUUACUGUGAGAAAAUUAGAGUGUUCAAAGCAGGCGUUUGCUUGAAUAGAUUAGCAUGGAAUAAUAAUUGAAGGCUUUCGUGUUCGAUUUGAUUGGUUUGUUCAUGGAAGCAAGGUUAAAAGGAACAGUUGGGGGUAUUCAUAUUCACUAGUUAGAGGUGAAAUUCUCGGAUUUAUGGAAGAUGAACAAGUGCGAAAGCAA
rnacentral:rRNA from 1 species